rnacentral:rRNA from 1 species
CUCUUGGAUGACAUUUGGCCCAGUGUCCGACGGGACGUAUACAUGCUGGUCCAAAUGUGAACCACAACAUUAUGUGAACUGUAUUGUCUCUGGCGGGGGGGUGAAGCAUACGUUAUUUGCUUUAUCUGUCAGCUUGAUGUAACCUUAUGUCAAGUCGUGGACAUCCCGUCAAACACUUGUCAAACCUAUUGUCUUUUUUUUGUCUAACAUUUUUUUGUAUCAAUAUACAAACAACUUUUGGCAACGGAUCUCUUGGCUCUCGCAACGAUGAAGAACGCAGCGAAAUGCGAUAAGUAGUGUGAAUUGCAGAAUUCAGUGAAUCAUCGAAUCUUUGAACGCACCUUGCGCUUUCUGGUAUUCCGGAGAGCAUGCCCGUUUCAGAAUCAUUAAAAUCUCAUAAACUUUUUAUGUUUUCGAGCAUAAGAUGCUGUGGAUUUGAGUGUUUUGCCUUCGGCAAUCAUUGAAAAAGGAUUGUAUGUGUGCCAAUAGGAAAAAAUUGGUUAUCAAAAGUGCAGCAGAGGAAACUCCCAAUCGCUUUUGGCAGUUGAUUUUGGUACUAAUGGAACAUGUGCCCCAACCAUUAACAAAGGUCAAACCAUUUUGGUGUGAUACUUGAUAACUUGGUCUGAAAUCGGGCAAGAAAACCCGCUGAACUUAAGCAUAUCAAUAAGCGGAGGAAAAGAAACUAACAAGGAUUCCCCUAAUAACGGCGAGUGAAGCGGGAAUAGCUCAAA